UGAUGAUUUCACAUAUGAAGCAGAGAAAACCAAACCAGAGCUAUCUGUUCUAAUGUGAGAACAUGCUGGUCUCUAAUACCCAGCUGUGGAAGCCCUGAUAGCAAGAACUACCAUCAAGCAUUUAUAGUAUCAAGUAUCAUUUGUGAUUGUUGCAUGCUUUGAAACUGUGAUGUUAUCAUUUGAUCAAGUGUGCAGUGCGAGCAAAUCAUUGCUUGUGGUAUCUGCUGUGUUAUGCAAUAGCACCAAAGUAUGAGCUUUACGUUAAUGAGACAUUUCUGUGGCUUAUUGCAGAUUGAUAAAACGACACAUCACCUUAAUAAAGACGGAAAUCUUUAAUAAGAGUGAAACAGAACUUCGGUUUUGCCUUUGCUGGAUACUGAUCUGGUCGUCGCAAGUCUGAGUGAACAGAUCUUUGGCUUUGCCUUUGCUGGUGACCUGCUGCAGAAGAUCCUCUCUCUCUAUCAUUAUAAGCAAUUCUGUCUAUCCUAUCUCUCCCAACUCUAUCUAAUUUGACAGCCAUUCUAUCUUGUAUCCCUCUCUCU